CUUCAGGUGUGGAUAAUGUGACCGGUAUUCCAUCGGUGGACUGUUGGGUCAGUUGGGUUUGGUGGUCUUCAAUCCAAGCAACCACCUCGUUGUAGAUUUGCUCGGACCUAGGAUCUACAAAUUGCCCAGUCUUGUCCUUGUGGGUCCCCUCGUAAAGAUCCCAAAGAGACGGGAGUCCCGUCUCUUUGGCCUAAAAAACAUUUAAGAAAGUUAGAAUAUAUUUUUAAACAAAUUAAUUAAUUAAAAUAUUUACCAUAUCCAAAUGGACACCGACGUGGGGUUUUUGACCGGUAUAGUAAAGCAUCGGCCCAUUGUCGUGCUCAUCUUUCGUUAGACAGGAGGCAGAGCAACUGUAGGAGACUUUAAUGGACGAUGGCAGGAUCCAAUAAGGGAUGAGGUCAUCCCACACAUCCUUGGUGAGCUCAACGGGUUUUCCCUGCUCAUAACCUUUCACGAUCCAAUAAUUCGUCCAGUUGGAUACCGUGUCCAACAAUCGACCUUUCGC
rnacentral:lncRNA from 1 species